rnacentral:misc_RNA from 1 species
CACGGUCCCAGACGUG